rnacentral:misc_RNA from 1 species
UUGGUUUUAAGAGAAAUUAGCCAAUCUUUUAAUAUCGUGAUACGCUCGUCGUCGUCACCCAACUCUGCCCGUUUGGAUGAGUUCAACUGCGUGGUAAUAAGUAGCACAGUUCUGACCAGUGAUCAGGUCCUGUUAGCCGAGUUCAUCCUGUUGUUGGAGUAUCAACAGAAUACAGAGAGCUCAAAGUGGCAGGAACCAGUGAUCAGGUCCUGUUGGCCGAAUUCUCCCUGUUGUUGGAGUAUGAAUACAUGGAGAGCUCAAAGUGGUAGGAACUGUGUUUGCGACAGAACAUCAGACAUAUUGGCUACAAGAGCAUUUUCCAACUGGACAAAUCUGAGAAGAACUGUAGCAGAAGACAAUGAUUAGCAGACACCUUUUUCAAAACUUUAUUCAAUUAAAUCAACCUCUACUGAGGAAGGUUGCGUUCAAAAGUACUAUAUUUGCUGUUGCUACACCACCUCGAAAAUCUGGAGUUGCAGUUAUUAGGAUAUCAGGUGAUCGAUGUGCAUACAUCUUGGAGAAAGUUGCAAUGUUCAUGAUCCUUCCACAACCACGUCUUGUGAAAUUACGUAGAUUUUACCAUCCAGCCACAGGUGAAAUGCUUGACAAAGGAAUGGUUGUAUGGUUCAAAGGACCUCAAAGCUUCACUGGGGAGGAUUGUUGUGAGCUUCACAUACAUGGAAGCGCUGCCGUAGCAACAGCUAUGAUGUCAGCACUCGGCACAAUUCAUCAAUGCAGACAAGCAGAACCAGGCGAAUUCACGAAAAGGGCAUUCCACAAUGGUAAGCUAGACCUGACUGAGGUGGAGGGCCUGGGGGAGCUGAUACAUGCAGAGACAGAGGCCCAGAGGAAGCAAGCUUUGAGGCAACUCGAGGGACAGCUCAGCCAGCUCUACCAGUCGUGGAGAACUAGACUCAUUAAGUGUGCUGCCAAUAUUGAAGCAUUCAUCGACUUCUCUGAGAAUGACACGCUCGAAGAUAAUUUGUUGGAAGAUGUGGAAAAAGAGGUGACACUUUUGACUCAAGAUAUACAGCAACACUUGGCAGAUGGGAGACAUGGUGACAGGCUCAGAGAUGGAGUGAGAGUUGCGAUUGUUGGAGAGCCAAAUGUUGGGAAAAGUAGUCUGUUGAAUGCAAUGUGCAGACGGCCUGCAGCCAUUGUUUCCUCAAUAGAGGGCACCACUAGAGACAUUAUAGAAACACAUCUGAAUAUAGGUGGCUAUCCAGUCUUACUAAGUGACACAGCGGGACUGCGUAAGACCAAUAAUGUGCUUGAGCUUGAAGGAAUAAGGCGUGCAAUUGAAAGGGCAGAGAAUGCUGAUAUUAUUUUAGUGGUGCUAGAAGCUCGUAAGAUAGCAGAACUAGCUGAAUUAGAACCCCAGUUCAAUCUAAACACUUACCUAAUGGAGCAUAUCACCUCACUUGGACUCACCAUUAACAGAACAGACUCAGUUCAAGAACCAGUGAUUGCAGCUGUUCUGAAUAAAAUUGACCUGAUAGGGGAUAGUUCACUGAGUGCAAUAAUCAGUCAGUGUCGCAAAGAGUCUGACAAAAUGUUGAGUGUGACUGGAAAGUUGUCACACACGAGAGAUGAUAGUGCCAAAUGUGACACAAGGGAGCAGAAUGCCAAAUAUGACAUCAGGGAGCAAAGCGCCAAAGAUGAAACUAGUGAUUAUAGUGCCAAUCUGAAAUAUGACACAAGGCAACAUAAAUCAGAUGAAUAUACAGUGGAAUAUAAUACUGAGCAAAAUGAAACAAUAUUUCACUCAGAAAAUAUAUCACCUGAGAUAACAAACUCUAGUGUCCCCAACACUGAACAAUUAUUUAUCAAUAAUAAAGAUAAAACAAAAAGGGACUGCCACACUAGAACGAGUACAGAUGAUGUAUAUGAGGAAAUACCUGUAGUAUGUACCUCAUGUGUCUCUGACACUGGAAUCAGUGAUCUUAUCUCAACUCUACAACAUCAUCUUGAACAAAUGUGCACUACAGGUGCCACAGAAAGCCAGGGAGUAUGUCAAGCCAGGCACAGGGAGCUCCUCACCGAGUGUCUAUACAGCUUGGAGAAAUUCACAUCCCUGGGGGGCCAGGACUAUGCUAUAGCAGCACAGAUGCUCAGGAACUCUCACCGGAAUCUUGGCAAAGUUAUUGGAACUGUUAGUACAGAUGAUAUACUUGAUGUUAUUUUUAGGGACUUUUGUAUUGGUAAAUGAUCAAAAUAUGUCUUGGAAAGAUAAAAGGGGGGAAGGGAAUGAAUAACCUAUUUUAUAUAAGAAAUCUACAGAGGAAUCCUCCAAUAAUGGUUAUUAAAAUAAUACAUAAACAGGCAAUUAACAUGCAAAAUGUCACAACCUACCAUUUGUUACAGAUGCCGACUGCCAAACAUCAUCCAUAAAAAGUUUGAGGCAAUAAUAAUAUGUCAUCU